rnacentral:lncRNA from 1 species
GCGACGGGGACCCCCGGCGGGCGUCGCGGCGGGCGGGCCUCGAGAGGCUCGGUUCUUAAAGGGAACGCAGCGCCGGGAGCCUCUUCCGGGCUGGUGGGUGGGAAAUUUCCUGGAAGAAGGGGAGCCCGCUGCAGUGACGUGGGCUACGGCGGCGUGGGUCUGCAGGGCCGAGGAGGGGCCCGGGGAGACACGAAACCGGCAGUGCGUGGGGACUGGACUGCCUGGUUUCCCGGACGUCCAAGCCAGCCUCUCCCCCUCACCUUCUCGGGAUAGGACUUCAAUUUAAACCAGUUACAUCAAUAGUAGCAGGAGAAACAUGGAGCCAGCAGGACCAGCAGCCUGAGCACCAUGAUCAAGAGCAAGAUCACAGGAGAACGAGACAGACUCCGAUUUGAAUCCCAGCCGUGCCCUUUCAAUUAACAAAGCAAUUAACCCCUUUCUUCCUCAUCUGUGAAAUAGUCAUGUUUUGAGGAUGAUAAAAGGCCAUGUUUUCAAAAAGCAUGGUACACAAUAAACAUUUACGGAUGUUAACA